ensembl:lncRNA
GGCCUUCCGGUACUUGAAGGGAGUGUAUAAAGAGGAGGGGGAACGGCUGUUUGUGAGGGUGGACAGUGAUAGGACAACGGGGAAUGGUUUUAAACUGAGACAGGGGAGGUUUAGGUUGGAGAUGAGGAGGAAGUUUUUCCCCCAGAGGGUGGUGACGCACUGAACAGGUUGCCCAAGGAGGCUGUGGAUGCCCCAUCCCUGCAGGCACUCAAGGCCAGGCUGGAUGUGGCUCUGGGCAGCCUGGGCUGCUGGUUGGUGACCCUGCACAUAGCAGGGGGUUGGAACUGGAUGAGCAUUGUGGUCCUUUUCAACCCAGGACAUUCUCUGACUCUAUG